rnacentral:ncRNA from 7 species
UGCUUGGGCUACAUAUGGUUGAGGGUUGUA